CUCUCUCUCUCUCUCUCUCUCUCUCUCUCUCUUAACCUUCGUUCUCCAAUUCCUCAGAUUCUUCUUUCUCCGUCGCUGAGAAUAAAGGAGGACAAAGUUCUUCUCUUUUCUGAAUCCCCUCUAUUCUAUCUAAACCCUAACCCACUCCCCUCAAUUUCAUUUUAAGAGUGAAAAACCACUUCCUUAUCCACAAGCCCAAAACGUUUUUGUUUGCUCCUCCGGUCUAAAGAAAAUGGCGACUGCAAACGCUCUCUCUUCCGCCUCCGUCCUCUGCUCUUCACGCCAGAUUUUGGUGGCGUUGAGAGCAAGGGAACCACAGCAAUGACGCGAUGCCAUCAUCACAGCAAGAGGAUGAAGCUAAAGCUGUUGGGCAGUUAAGAAACUAUAGGAUGGCAAGUCUGCUUGGAUGUUGCUAUGAAGGUGAAGAGAGACUUCUUGUUCCUGAGUUUAUAUAUGCCUAACGAAACUCUGGCUAAGCAUCUUUUCCACUGGGAGUCGCAACCUAUGAAGUGAGCAAUGUGAGUAAGAGUAGCUUUACAUAUUGCUCCUGCUCGUAUUCCUGGUGGUGCUUGCCAUGGAACUGCUGAUAUGAGUGACUUAACUAGGUUGUGAACUAGGUUGUGAUUGUGAUUGUGUGUAUUUUGGCUGGUAAAGCUGCUGGAGCUUAAGUGAUUGUUGUUCCUUCUCUGCCCAAACAAACACAUCUUUUUCUUCUCUGCCUAAAGUAAAGUUUGAAGUUAGUCCUUUUAAGACUUGGCAAGACUUAUAUUGUUAGUUAGUAAAAUUUUACUUGUAAAUAAUAUGUUUUAUGAUAGC